rnacentral:tRNA from 2 species
CGAUAGUUGCUCGAGUGGUUGAAGAGGUCAGUCUCGAAAACUGAAAAUGGCGCAAGUCAUUCAAGGGUUCAAAUCCCUUACUAUCGGCCA